rnacentral:tRNA from 1 species
GACCGCGUAGCUCAGUUGGAAGAGCAUUGGGCUAGUAUUCCAAAGGUCGUAGGUUUGAAUCCCGCCGUGGCCA